UAGAAAGUUGUCGACAUUAUGAAAUGUGUACUGGCCGAGGAAAACCGUUACUUAAUCUUUUGCCAUUUGGGUUAUUUUAUCUAUGGGGCAAUUUCGCACUCUAACCUCUUGAAUGAAAUCAAUAUUAUUAUCAGUUCUUUCCUAUUUUCCCGGUAUGCUUGCUUUGAUAUAUGAAGAAUAUAAAUGUCUUUAUUUGAAUGAGAUCAAUAUUAUCAUCAGUUCUUUCCUAUUUUCCCGAUAUGCUUGCUUUGAUAUAUGAAAAAUAUAAAUUUUUUCUUUGAGAAGCUGUGGUGCUUUUUUUAGAAAGG
rnacentral:misc_RNA from 1 species